rnacentral:rRNA from 1 species
UACGAAGGGGGCUAGCGUUGUUCGGAUUUACUGGGCGUAAAGCGCACGUAGGCGGAUCGUUAAGUCAGGGGUGAAAUCCUGGAGCUCAACUCCAGAACUGCCUUUGAUACUGAAGAUCUUGAGUUCGGGAGAGGUGAGUGGAACUGCGAGUGUAGAGGUGAAAUUCGUAGAUAUUCGCAAGAACACCAGUGGCGAAGGCGGCUCACUGGCCCGAUACUGACGCUGAGGCACGAAAGCGUGGGGAGCGAACAGG